rnacentral:misc_RNA from 1 species
AGCAGAUUAUUAUAAACAAAGUAUUUCAGCAAAUAAGUAAGACGCAAAUAUGUAGAGAAUUUGGGUUAUCUGCUGCUAUUUUAUUUCAAAACUGAUUGUGCCUUUAUAUAGGCUUACAAGGAAACUGAAAUGGUUAAAAUUUCUCAACUAACAUCAGAUAUUCCUGCCACUAUUUACAUACUCAUUCAACUAACUAAAAACCAGAAAUUAAAGGAGAAAUAAUCUGCACUAAACCAGAAAAUUAAGGAGCAAAAUAUCUGCAGUAAAAACAAUUCAAUUGUUGAAUCAACCCUCAACACUCCCCCUUGAUUCAAAGUUGCACACACCAAGUAAUCCCCUAAUGUAGCAGAACUUCUCUUUUGAUAAAUCCUUUGUAAGUAUGUCUGCCAGCUACUCAUUGGUGCUACAAUACUUCAAAGUUAUCUCCUCUUUUGCAAUGAGGUCACAAAUGAAAUGGUGACGAAGUUCGAUAUGCUUUGUUCUGCUGUGAAAUGUUGGGUUUUUGGUCAUGGAGAUAAUUGUUUUGUUGUCACAAAAUAUCUCUGUUGCUCCCUUUUGCUCUAGUUGAAGAUCAGCUAACAGUCUCCUUAGCCAGAUCGUUUGACAAGCUGCUGAAGUUGCUGCAAUGUACUCAGCUUCCGAAGUUGACAACGCCACUGUUGCUUGCUUCUUUGAGCUCCAAGUGAUCACUCAUGAUCCUAGAGUGAAAAUAUUUGCUGAAAUACUCCAUCUAUCAUCUAACGAACCUGCCCAAUAGCUAUUCGUGAACCCACAUAAUAUGAAAUUAGAAGUUUUAGAAUACCAAAUUCCAUACUCCAUAGUUCCAGCAAUAUAACGCAAGACUCGCUUUGCUACUUCAUAAUGAACCUUUGAAGGUUGUUGCAUAAACUUGGAAAUAACACCAACAGGAAAUGCAAUGUCGGGUCGAGUGUGUGUUAAAUAAAUCAGGCCUCCAACCAAGCUUCUAAACCUUCCAACAUCUGCCAUUUUGGCUCCAUCUUCAUGCUGCAAUUUUUCAUUAAUAUUCAUGGGUGUAGCUGCCGGCUUGCAAAUAAGCAUGCCAAAUUUAUUGAGAAGGUCUCUAGUGUGUUUCCUUUGUGAAAUAAAAAUUCCAUCUUCAUCUUGAUGGACUUCAAGGCCAAGGAAAUAGUGCAAUAAACCCAUAUCCGACAUCUCAAAUUCAUUCAUCAUUUGAAACUUGAAUUUAUCCACAAGAGAGCCAGAGGAGCUAGUGUAAAUGAUAUCAUCAACAUAAAGGCAAACAAUGAUGAAAUCAUUUUUACCUUCCUUUUUCACAUACAAGGUGGGCUCGUUCUCACUUCUCAUGUACCAUUUUUUCUGAAAAUACCCAUCAAUCUUGCUGUACCAAGCUCGAGGGGCCUGCUUCAAUCCAUACAAUGCCUUUUUCAGCAUGUACACCUUUGUUUCGUCACCCUCCUUUAUGAAACCCUCUGGUUGUGCUACAUAAACCUCUUCUUGUAAAUCUCCAUUGAGGAAAGCCGACUUGACAUCAAAUUGAUAAACAGGCCACUGCAGUUGUGCUGCUAGUGCUAGAAUAGUUCUUACAGUUUCAAAGUGAGCUACUGGAGAAAAAGUUUCUUCGAAAUCAACGCCUUGUUGUUGAGCAUACCCUUAGUCACAAGACGAGCUUUGUGCUUCUGUAUGCUUCCAUCUGCAGCAAAUUUUGUCUUGAACACCCACUUCAAUUUAAUUGCAUUUUUGCCUUCCGGUAAGUCAACCAUCUCCCAUGUUCCAUUCUUCUCGAUAGCUUUCAUCCCUUCCACCAUUACUUUCUACCACUCUUCUUUUUCAGCUGCUUCUUCAUAAUGUAUAGGAUCUGAAACAAUAAGAGGAAAUUGACAAGAUGUAUAUAAGUUAGCCAAAGAUCUAUACUUUCUUGGUGGUGUCUCAUUUGAAGACUCUUCAGGAUACGAGUUUCUGCUUGGUGUUGCUGAAGUUGACAAACUUGGUGACGUUGUGGAGGAACCAGUAGGUGAACUUGCAGGAGUUGGCUCUUGUCUUUCAUCUAGAGAAAUUUCAAUAGGAAUCUCUUGUCGCACCUGCUCUUCACCCCAAUCCCAGCUCGCACUUUCAUCAAAUAUUACAUCCCUUCUAAUUGAAAUCUUGCCACUAAUAGGGCUAUACAAUCUAUAUGCUUUGGAUUGAGUACAAUAACCAAUAAAAAUGCAUUUUUUAGAUUUUUCAUCAAGCUUUUAACGAUCUUAAGAAUUUACCAAAGCAUAAGCAACACACACAAAGACUCGUAAAUGACUUACAGAUGGUUUCCUUCCACGCCAAACUUCAUAUGGAGUUUGAUUUAUGAUAGCCCUUGUUGGUGAGAGAUUCAACAAAUAGACGGAUGUUACUACAGCUUCUGCCUAAAAUUGGUUUGAAAGUCCCCUUGCUUGUAACAUGCUUCUUGCCAUCUCCACAACGGUUCAAUUUUUUUCGUUCAGCGACAUCGUUUUGCUCCGGAGUGUAAUGAGUUGUUAACUCCCUAUGGAUGCCAUUUUCUUCACAAAACAAAUUAAAUUCUUUGGAUAUGAACUCUCCACCUCUAUCUGUGCAAAGAACUUUGAUGUGACAGUCACUCUGGUUCUCCACCAUAGCCUUAAAUUUCUGGAACCUACCAAAAGUUUCUGACAUGUUUUCUAGAAAAUAAACCCAGCUCAUGCGACUGAAAUCAUCAGUAAAUAACAAGAAAUAACGACUCCCACUCAAGGACUCACUUUGCAUUGGCCCACACAAAUCAGCAUGAAUUAGUUCUAAACAUUCUGAAGCUCUCCUAGCUUUUCCAAUAGGAAAUGACUUCCUAAUUUGUUUUCCAUAAAUGCACCCUUCACAUAAAUCAAUAAAGCCAAUUUUCGUAAACCCGAGAACCAUACAUUUUUCACUGAACAGCUUCAGGCCCUUCAUGUUGAGAUGCCCGUACUUGAAAUGCCAUAGCUUCGAGUCAUCCUUUACACUUGCAGCAAGGGAAAAAUUCUCCAUGUUAGAAACAUCCAACGAAAACAUCUUGUUUGAAGUCAUGCUAAUAUGAACCCUUUGGCCUGAUUUCUUAUUUUUAAUGACACACGCGUUGUCAUCAAAUAGAACGGAAUAUCCACCAGCCAUCAAUUGUCGAACGCUUAAUAAAUUGUAUUCUAAAUCAGGUACAAAUUGAACGUUGUCCAAUACUUUUACUUUACCAUGGCUAGUGUCAACUUUCACCGUGCCUUUUCCUUCAACUUGCAUCUCCUUAUUGUUGCCAAGCUGCACUUUUAUCCUUUGUGUCUCAUCAAGCUCCUAGAACAAGGAUUUGGUGCCCGUCAUAUGGUUCGAACAUUCUUGACUCAUGAGCUUGAAGGGAUCCCAUCAGUUCAUCAACGGAAAGAACUGACAAAUCCUUAGCUUCUUCUAUGGCAGCUACCACAUGGUCAAAUUUUGGAGUCAAGCUUCUCAACACUUUUGCAAUAAUUGUCUCAUCCAAAAUCUGCUCAUCGUAGGACCGCAUUUGACUGACUAUUGCCAUUGCUCUUGACAAAAAAUCAGCAAUUGAUUCACCAUUCUUCAUAACCGAAGUUUCAAAAUCACGUCUUAGUGAUUGUAAUUUCACCACUAUGACCUUUGAAUCACCUUGAAACUCCUUCUGCGGAAUUGACCAUGCUUGCUUCGAUGUGGUUGCCGCUGCAAUUUGUGAGAAAAUAGUUUCAUGGACUGCUUGCUGGAGAAUGAACAAGGCUUUGGCAUCCCUCUUCUUGGUUUCUCUCAGCCUUUCCUCCUCUUCUUCGUUGGGUUCUAGUAUAUCAACAAACCCAUACUCCACCAAGUCCCAUAGCUCCUACGAUCUGAGCAAUAUCUUCACCUUGAUGCUCCACCACUCAUAUUUCUCACCAUUGAAAAUUGGUAUGAGUGGUUGAGAGGAAGAAAAAACUUGUUGCUGCUGCCAUUCUUGAACAGCUUUCUUCAAAAACAAAAUAAUACUCACUCUCGUGUUUCCCUCAAGCACCCAAAAGUGUUUCACUCAAUACCCAAUGGACCCAAGCCUCACGUUUCACUCAAUUGCCCAAAGGACCAAAGCCUCACGUUUCACUAAAUUGCCCAAAGGACCAAAGCAGGCUCUGAUACCAAAUUUGUUGAGGAAAAAAUGAUAAAGAG